CCUACGGGGGGCAGCAGUGGGGAAUAUUGGGCAAUGGAGGCAACUCUGACCCAGCAACGCCGCGUGAAUGAUGAAGGUCUUCGGAUUGUACAGUUCUGUGAUGGGGGAUGAACACAAUGACGGUACCCCAAUAGCAAGCCACGGCUAACUACGUGCCAGCAGCCGCUGUAAUACGUAAGUGGCAAGCGUUAUCCGGAAUGACUGGGCGUAAAGGGUGCGUAGGUGGUUUAGUAAGUUGGCGGUGUAAUUCCGGGGCUCAACCUCGGCGCUACCGCCGAAACUAGUAGACUAGAGUGCAGGAGGGGUAAGUGGAAUUCCUAGGGUAGCGGUGGAAUGCGUAGAUAUCACGAAGAACCCCGAUUGCGAAGGCAGUCUGCCGCAGCGUUACUGACGCUGAAGCUCGAAAGCGCGGGUAUCGAACAGGAUUAGAUACCCUUGUAGUC
rnacentral:rRNA from 1 species